GAUGGGGUUUCACUGUGUUAGCCAGGAUGGUCUCAAUCUCCUGACCUCGGACUUACACAAGUUUCUUAACUUCCCUAAGCCUUGGUUCCUCAUCUGUAAAAACAGGAAAAUAUUGCAGCCUAUCUCCUGGGACUUGUAUAAGGAUCAAAUCAGUUAAUGUAAAUAAAGCACUUGGAACAAUUCCUGAAAAUGAGUACUCAAUACAAGUUUAGGGUUGUUGUUGUUAGUAACAGUAGUAUUACCUAGCUUCCAUUGAGAGAAUCUAUUAUUUCGUUUCCAUAAAUUAUAUGAUCAAAUACAGUUAGAUACUAGUUACCAUGUAAAACAGAUUCCCUAAUGGGGAGAAACAAGACUGGUCUAUCAGUAAUAGGACUCAUAAUCUCUUUCCUUAUUCUCUUUCUCCUUUUUAUCAGCUUGUCUUUCUUGCCUGCCUGCCUUUCUGCCCUCUUUUUUUGUGGCUUCUCAUCUCUCUUUUUCUCCUCUUCCACAUUUACCAUGAUUUCCUCCUGUCCCCUCUCCUAAUUUGAAGUGCUGAGAAAGGAUGUGCUCUCACAAGAUCUGAGAGGAGAGCUAGUGCCAUUUGGCUGCCUUCAGCAUUCAUGAGGAAAGGAUGGUUCUUAAAAACCAUUAGAAUGAUCCUGAGAUGAAACUCAUGUCUCUUCCCUUGGGAUCACCCUUCCUUUUGAACCAGUGGCUCUUCUUACUUCCUCUGCCUUCAAUGAAGCAUUCUCCUCUGCAUAUGCUGGGGGAGUAGAAAGAAUGUUUGGCACUCAGCUCCACAUGGGAGAAAUCAUGUCUACUUAAUGCAUCACUGUGUACCUCAUGCCUAGGACCUGUUGCAUAGAAGGUAACAACAAGUAUUUGCUGAUGGAAUGAUUCAGUGAAGCAACACUGAAACUGGAGAUUUGAACUCUGGUUUUCUCCCUCACUAGAAGUAUAACCUUGGGAAAAUGGCUUUGUAAAGAAGCUUGAGCCUAAAUCUGGCUGGAUGACUUUUCUAGAAGUUACAGGAAAGAUCUGUGAAACGCUAUCUCUUCUGAAGCAAUACUGUUGACCAGAAAGGACACUCCAUAUUGUGAAACCGGCCUAAUUUUUCUGACUCUUAAGAAAACGAUUGCCAACACAUACUUCUACUUUUAAAUAAACAGCUUUGAUGAUGUAACUUGACCUUCUAGAGUUACAGAAAUUUUAUCCCUAUUUAAUAAAUAAAUUGUAUGUAAUUUUCUCUAUA